rnacentral:rRNA from 1 species
AUUGAACGCUGGCGGCAUGCCUUACACAUGCAAGUCGAACGGCAGCACGGGAGCAAUCCUGGUGGCGAGUGGCGAACGGGUGAGUAAUAUAUCGGAACGUGCCCGGUCGUGGGGAUAACGUAGCGAAAGCUACGCUAAUACCGCAUACGAUCUAUGGAUGAAAGCGGGGGAUCGCAAGACCUCGCGCGAUUGGAGCGGCCGAUAUCAGAUUAGGUUGUUGGUGAGGUAAAAGCUCACCAAGCCGACGAUCUGUAGCUGGUUUGAGAGAACGACCAGCCACACUGGGACUGAGACACGGCCCAGACUCCUACGGGAGGCAGCAGUGGGGAAUUUUGGACAAUGGGCGAAAGCCUGAUCCAGCAAUGCCGCGUGCAGGAAGAAGGCC